GAUGCAGUGUACCCGCGGCAAGACGGAAAGACCCCGUGAACCUUUACUAUAGCUUGACACUGAACAUUGAGCCUUGAUGUGUAGGAUAGGUGGGAGGCUUUGAAGUGUGGACGCCAGUCUGCAUGGAGCCGACCUUGAAAUACCACCCUUUAAUGUUUGAUGUUCUAACGUGGACCCGUGAUCCGGGUUGCGGACAGUGUCUGGUGGGUAGUUUGACUGGGGCGGUCUCCUCCUAAAGAGUAACGGAGGAGCACGAAGGUUGGCUAAUCCUGGUCGGACAUCAGGAGGUUAGUGCAAUGGCAUAAGCCAGCUUGACUGCGAGCGUGACGGCGCGAGCAGGUGCGAAAGCAGGUCAUAGUGAUCCGGUGGUUCUGAAUGGAAGGGCCAUCGCUCAACGGAUAAAAGGUACUCCGGGGAUAACAGGCUGAUACCGCCCAAGAGUUCAUAUCGACGGCGGUGUUUGGCACCUCGAUGUCGGCUCAUCACAUCCUGGGGCUGAAGUAGGUCCCAAGGGUAUGGCUGUUCGCCAUUUAAAGUGGUACGCGAGCUGGGUUUAGAACGUCGUGAGACAGUUCGGUCCCUAUCUGCCGUGGGCGCUGGAGAACUGAGGGGGGCUGCUCCUAGUACGAGAGGACCGGAGUGGACGCAUCACUGGUGUUCGGGUUGUCAUGCCAAUGGCACUGCCCGGUAGCUAAAUGCGGAAGAGAUAAGUGCUGAAAGCAUCUAAGCACGAAACUUGCCCCGAG
rnacentral:rRNA from 1 species